rnacentral:sRNA from 1 species
AAGAUACAAAGCUAAAAACUCAUACGGACUUCGGCUAAGCCAUCAAAAUUUUGAGAAGCAAUAAGAAGCUUGGUUAGUGUUUUGGAGUCAAAUAUGACUAGAUGUCAUGUGUAUGAUUGAGUAUAAGAACUAGAACCGCAACCGUUUCCCGAAAGCUAAAGUAGUGUUUCCUUGUUAGAAGCUACAAAGCCAAAGACUCAUACAGACUUCGGCUACACCAUCAAAGUUUUGAGAAGCAAUAAUAAGCUUGGUUAGUAUUUUGGAGUCAAAUAAGACAAGAUGUUAUGUGUUUGAUUGAGUAUAAGAACUAGAACCGCAACAUCUUCCGAAAAGCUAAAGUUGUGUUUCCCUUCUAGAAGAUACAAAGCCAAAAACUCAUACGGACUUUGGCUACACCAUCAAAGAUUUAAGAAGCAACAAGAAGUUUGGUUAGUGUUUUGAAGUCAAAA